ensembl:piRNA 21ur-2252 ncRNA
UGAAAUGUGGAUUUUUUUACA